AGUGAACGCUGGCGGUAGGCCUAACACAUGCAAGUCGAACGGCAGCACAGUAAGAGCUUGCUCUUACGGGUGGCGAGUGGCGGACGGGUGAGGAAUACAUCGGAAUCUACUUUUUCGUGGGGGAUAACGUAGGGAAACUUACGCUAAUACCGCAUACGACCUACGGGUGAAAGUAGGGGAUCUUCGGACCUUGCGCGAUUGAAUGAGCCGAUGUCGGAUUAGCUAGUUGGCGGGGUAAAGGCCCACCAAGGCGACGAUCCGUAGCUGGUCUGAGAGGAUGAUCGGCCACACUGGAACUGAGACACGGUCCAGACUCCUACGGGAGGCAGCAGUAGGGAAUAUUGGGCAAUGGGCGCAAGCCUGAUCCAGCCAUGCCGCGUGAGUGAAGAAGGCCUUCGGGUUGUAAAGCCCUUUUGUUGGGGAAGAAAAGCAGCGGGUUAAUACCCCGCUGUUCUGACGGUACCCAAAGAGUAAGCACCGGCUAACUUCGUG
rnacentral:rRNA from 1 species